CCGCGUGAAUGAUGAAGGCCUUUAGGGUUGUAAAGGUUCUUUUAGCCAGGGAAGAUAAUGACGGUACCUGGAGAAUAAGCACCGGCUAACUUCGUGC
rnacentral:rRNA from 1 species